rnacentral:rRNA from 1 species
GCCAUCCAGUUCGGAUUGCAGGCUGCAACCCGCCUGUAUGAAGUUGGAAUCGCUAGUAAUCGCGGAUCAGCAUGCCGCGGUGAAUACGUUCCCGGGCCUUGUACACACCGCCCGUCACACCAUGAGAGUCGGGAACACCCGAAGUCCGUAGCCUAACCGCAAGGGGGGCGCGGCCGAAGGUGGGUUCGAUAAUUGGGGUGAAGUCGUAACAAGGUAGC